UCAUGGGCACUGGGAAAACUGGGUUAAUCUUUUGUAGGGGGAGUGUAAAACAAACCAAACCUGCAUUAAUGUCAGAAAGCUUAUCUGUCAACAAGCCAACACCAAGCCUCUUGAGUUCCCUUUAUCUGAUAAUGUCAAGAAACCUGGGUUAGCAUUCUUCCCACCUCAGUCUAGUGCUUAUUCAGUCCCGAGCCGUGUUGAAACUGCCCACAUGCUAGGUAUAUAUAAUGUUAGGAAACAGUUCCCAGUGCAGACAGCUGAAACCCAAUCGCUUGCUCUGCUGAGUGUCCCAGUGAUUACACGGCUCCUCUGCAAGCUUGUGCCGAAUGUAUAAAGAACGCAGUGACCACGGCUUCUUGUUCAUUCUGUGUGUCUAGGGAGAAGAAUGUGGGAACUUCAAACAAUAACUUAAUGAUGGUUCAGGAAAUUCAGGAAAGACAGGCUGCUGUGGCUUUCUGCCCUUGGAGGAAGCCUCGAUGUAUUGCCCUUUGCAUCCGGAAUGAAAAGUUUGCUCAUGAAGCUGGAGGAAAACCUUAUGCUUUCAGAAGGUGACACCUGAGCCUGCUUGAAUCAGCCUGUCCCCCUGUUUCUUCCAAAGCCCUAGGUGCUAACCUGUUCUUGACUCACACUGGCCCACACUGCUGUAUCAUCUGCUUGGCUAACACUCAGCCAGAUUUCACCUGGGCAUUGGGGUUACUUCUAAGACCGACUGCCUCUUCAUCCUGCCUGCAGCUGCUUCUUUCGUUGUUCUGAGUUUGUAUAUUUUGGUCUUCUUGAGUAUCCCAGAUCUAAUGCUUACUCCUGGUGGUUUGUGUCAGAAUUGGACUGAACUGUGGGACACCCAGUUGGUGUUAGAGAAUUGCUGGGGGACCAGAGCCACACAGCCACGUUUUCUCCUCCAAUACCACGGGAAGUGACCCAUGGCAGCGGCAGAGGGUGUCGCAUAUGUACUUGCUUCAUUGGGUCCUGGCUGAGGUAGCAGAUUUCCCACAGAAGUCCAUUUUCCCUUUCCUGAGUCACAUCUGAGCCCGCGGCCCUAUAAGGGAAUGAUUCCCUGCUCGGUGAUGAAAUGCCAGGACGCGACAUCCUUUCUAAUGAGUCACAGUCAAUACAAAUUGUUUUCAAAUGACUCUGCCUCUGCCUCCACACCGCGCUUCGUGAAAGAAGAACCUCUUCAAAUCAAAACAUCUUGUUUCAUCAGCCGAGCUCCGGCAGACCUCUCACUUUUGUAAGCAAAAUGAAAUGUGUUUCCACACAAAGGGAAAAUCCAAUCUGUUCUUAUUUUUCCUCGGGUGCCCGUGUUCCACCGUAAGAGGAAAUGACGGAGGCACACACUGGAAAGUGUUUGCAGGGUUUGGGGACGGAGAAGCUACUGAGGAGUUUUGUAGACAAUAAUAAUAAGACAUGUAGAG